CGGUGCCCGUGCGGCCGGCGGAAUCUUUUGGCCGCGCGCACUGGAGUAGACACAGGACCGGACAGACGGAGGCGAGUGCCGCACCUGCCCGAAGACACGCAAUCGCCUGCGGUCACACGGUCUAAUCAAUAACUAUGUAUAAGUAUUCAAUUAUUAAUAAUAAUGAAUGUAAUGGAAAUAUCUGUUCGAACUGUGCAAACUUUGGCAAAUAAAGUGCUAUCGUGACCAAA